AUGGAGGAGCUACCCUCCACCUCGCCAUCUACACCUUGGCCAGCACCAACAGUGCCACCCCAACCCAUCACCUCCCGUCCUGCACCAUCUCACUCUGGCUUUACACCCCAACCCAUCACCUCCCGUCCUGCACCAUCUCAAUCCAUCCACUCUGGCUCUACACCCCAAACCAUCACCUCCUGUCCUGCACCAGCUCACUCUGGCUCUACACCCCAACCCAUCACCUCCUGUCCUGCACCAGCUCACUCUGGCUCUACACCCCAACCCAUCACCGCCUGUCCUGUACCAUCUCACUCCAUCCACUCUGGCUCUACACCCCAACCCAUCACCUCCUGUCCUGCACCAUCUCACUCUGGCUCUACACCCCAACACAUCACCUACUGUCCUGCACCAGCUCACUCCAUCCACUCUGGCUCUACACCCCAACCCAUCACGUCUGGCUGGAUACCACAGGGCCCCCAAGCCACUCUGUUCCAACAAAUCCUGGACACACAAACACAACAAAUCCAUGUUACACAGACCGCCCAACACAUCCACCAAGCUCUUUAUGAUUUAUUACAAAAAGCACAUGAAACACAGAAGGCACACCUGGAUGUGGAGAAGGAUCGCCUGGGGGAAGGGGAGGCCCGGGAGGUGCUUCGGCAGCUCUCUGUCUCCGGGUCAGUCGCCCUAGAACACCAGACGCCUGUGAGUUCAAGAACUGCCAGUGCCUCCCCCACCCUUCCUCUGGGAACACCAUCAGCCUCCAUGUCCAGUCCCCUCACAUUAAUAUCACCUACUGCACCACACUUUGAUUUCUUAUUUUCCCCAUUCCCAUUACCGGUAAUCACAACCCAUUCCACCCAGCCUUCACAAACUGCCCCAACCUCCCCUACCUUAACCAGCCCUGCCCCAACCAUCCCUACCUUUAACCAGCCCUGCCCCAACCAUCCCUACCUUAACCAGCCCUGCCCCAACCUCCCCUACCUUAACCAGCCCUGCCCCAACCAUCCCUACCUUAACCAGCCCUGCCCCAACCUCCCCUACCUUAACCAGCCCUGCCCCAACCUCCCCUACCUUAACCAGCCCUGCCCCAACCUCCCCUACCUUAACCAGCCCUGCCCCAACCACCCCUACCUUAACCAGCCCUGAGCCAACCACCCCUACCUUAACCAGCCCUGCGCCAACCACCCCUACCUUAACCAGCCCUGCCCCAACCACCCCUACCUUAAAAAUUCCUGCCUCAACCUCCCCUACCUUAACCAGCCCUGCCCCAACCACCUCUACCUUAACCAGCCCUGGCCCAACCUCCCCUACCUUAACCAGCCCUGCCCCAACCACCCCUACCUUAACCGUUUCUGCCCACUCUCUCAUCCCUACAAUCUCCGGAUCUAUUAAACGGCGAGUUCAGGAGACAGUCCGGCCUUGGCCUGCACCCACUGCUAAGAAUAAAAAACAUCAAUAAACAUCAAACAAAUAAUGCAAUAAAAUACAACAAGUGUUUAACUUGUUUUCUUACAGCCUCUUCACACUUACUACACUAUACAUAUUACUUCCAUGUAACCUUGCGUACUUGCCACGGAGAGGAGGGAGUGGAAGGAUGAUAGAUCCUCCGGAAAGUUUAGUUUUCUUCCAGUUCCACACAACUGUUCUGUUACCAACUCUGUUCUGUUGCUCUUCAACCGAUCGCUGCCCGCACCUGCCCGCCUGUCUAGCAUCACGACUCUGGACGGUUCUGACUUAGAAUAUGUGGACAACUACAAAUACCUAGGUGUCUGGUUAGACUGUAAACUCUCCUUCCAGACUCACAUUAAGCAUCUCCAAUCCAAAAUUAAAUCUAGAAUCAGCGUCCUAUUUCGCAAACAAAGCAUCCUUCACUCAUGCUGCCAAACACCCUCGUAAAACUGACUAUCCUACCGAUCCUUGACUUCAGCGAUGUCAUUUACAAAAUAGCCUCCAACACUCUACUCAGCAAAUUAUAUGUAGUCUAUCACAGUGACACCAAAGCCCCAUAUACUACCCACCACUGCGACCUGUACGCUCUCGUUCUCUGGCCCUCGCUUCAUAUUCGUCGCCAAACCCACUGGAUCCAGGUCAUCUAUAAGUCUUUGCUAAGUAAAGCCCCGCCUUCUCAGCUCACUGGUCACCAUAGCAGCACCCACCCAUAGCACUCGCUCCAGCAGGUAUAUUUCACUGAACACUCCCAAAGCCAACUCCUCCUUUGGCCUCCUUUCCUUCCAGUUCUCUGCUGCCAAUUACUGGAACGAAUUGCAAAAAUUACUGAAGCUGGAGUCUUAUAUCUACCUCACUAACUUUAUGCAUCAGCUGUCAGAGCAGCUUACAGAUCAUUGCACCUGUACAUAGUCUAUCUGUAACUAGCCCACCCAACUACCUCAUCCCCAUAUAGUAUUUUUUUUCUUCUUUGCACCCCAGUAUCUCUAUUUGCACAUUCAUCUUCUGCACAUCUAUCACUCCAGUGUCUAAUUGCUAAAUUGUAAUUAUUUCGCCACUAUGGCCUAUUUAUUGCCUUACCUCCCUAAUCUUACUUAAUUUUCACACACUGUAUAUAGACUUUUUCUAUUGUAUUAUUGACUGUAUGUUUGUUUAUCCCAUGUGUAACUCUGUGUCGCACUGCUUUGCUCUAUCUUGGCCUGGUCGCAGUUGUAAAUGAGAACUUGUUCUCAACUGGCCUACCUGGUUAAAUAAAGGUGAAAUAAUAAAUAAAUAAAGCACGUAGUGAGUCAUUCAGCCAACGAGCGGGAGAGGAGGAUCGGGCCACCUGGGAAGAAAGGGGA
rnacentral:lncRNA from 8 species